rnacentral:rRNA from 1 species
UACGUAGGGUGCUAGCGUUGUUCGGAAUCAUUGGGCGUAAAGCGCGUGUAGGCGGUUAGUUAAGUCAGAUGUGAAAUCCCUGGGCUCAACCGAGGAAGUGCAUUUGAAACUAAUUAGCUAGAGAGUGGUAGAGGGCGGUGGAAUUCCGUGUGUAGAGGUGAAAUUCGUAGAUAUUCGCAAGAACACCAGUGGCGAAGGCGGCUCACUGGCCCGAUACUGACGCUGAGGCACGAAAGCGUGGGGAGCAAACAGG